GGGUUGUGAGGUUAAGCGACUAAGCGUACACGGUGGAUGCCCUGGCAGUCAGAGGCGAUGAAGGGCGUGCUAAUCUGCGAUAAGCGCCGGUAAGGUGAUAUGAACCGUUAUAACCGGCGAUACCCGAAUGGGGAAACCCAGUGUGAUUCGUCACACUAUCAUUAACUGAAUCCAUAGGUUAAUGAGGCGAACCGGGGGAACUGAAACAUCUAAGUACCCCGAGGAAAAGAAAUCAACCGAGAUUCCCCCAGUAGCGGCGAGCGAACGGGGAGGAGCCCAGAGCCUGAAUCAGCAUGUGUGUUAGUGGAAGCGUCUGGAAAGGCGCGCGAUACAGGGUGACAGCCCCGUACACAAAAGCGCAUGUGCUGUGAGCUCGAUGAGUAGGGCGGGACACGUGGUAUCCUGUCUGAAUAUGGGGGGACCAUCCUCCAAGGCUAAAUACUCCUGACUGACCGAUAGUGAACCAGUACCGUGAGGGAAAGGCGAAAAGAACCCCGGCGAGGGGAGUGAAAAAGAACCUGAAACCGUGUACGUACAAGCAGUGGGAGCACAGGUUUACCUGUGUGACUGCGUACCUUUUGUAUAAUGGGUCAGCGACUUAUAUUCUGUAGCAAGGUUAACCGUAUAGGGGAGCCGUAGGGAAACCGAGUCUUAACCGGGCGUUAAGUUGCAGGGUAUAGACCCGAAACCCGGUGAUCUAGCCAUGGGCAGGUUGAAGGUUGGGUAACACUAACUGGAGGACCGAACCGACUAAUGUUGAAAAAUUAGCGGAUGACCUGUGGCUGGGGGUGAAAGGCCAAUCAAACCGGGAGAUAGCUGGUUCUCCCCGAAAGCUAUUUAGGUAGCGCCUCGUGAAUUCAUCUCCGGGGGUAGAGCACUGUUUCGGCUAGGGGGCCAUCCCGGCUUACCAACCCGAUGCAAACUGCGAAUACCGGAGAAUGUUAUCACGGGAGACACACGGCGGGUGCUAACGUCCGUCGUGAAGAGGGAAACAACCCAGACCGCCAGCUAAGGUCCCAAAGUCAUGGUUAAGUGGGAAACGAUGUGGGAAGGCCCAGACAGCCAGGAUGUUGGCUUAGAAGCAGCCAUCAUUUAAAGAAAGCGUAAUAGCUCACUGGUCGAGUCGGCCUGCGCGGAAGAUGUAACGGGGCUAAACCAUGCACCGAAGCUGCGGCAGCGAACGUAUCACCCAAGACAACUUUGCGGAGUUGACGAUUGACGGAGCGAAGCGACGUCAAAGCGUUCAUUAAAGUCGAGUUGGCUUAGGGAUACGUUCGUUGGGUAGGGGAGCGUUCUGUAAGCCUGUGAAGGUGGCCUGUGAGGGUUGCUGGAGGUAUCAGAAGUGCGAAUGCUGACAUAAGUAACGAUAAAGCGGGUGAAAAGCCCGCUCGCCGGAAGACCAAGGGUUCCUGUCCAACGUUAAUCGGGGCAGGGUGAGUCGACCCCUAAGGCGAGGCCGAAAGGCGUAGUCGAUGGGAAACGGGUUAAUAUUCCCGUACUUGGUGUUACUGCGAAGGGGGGACGGAGAAGGCUAUGUUGGCCGGGCGACGGUUGUCCCGGUUUAAGCGUGUAGGUGUGUGUUCCAGGUAAAUCCGGUUCACUUUAACACUGAGGCGUGAUGACGAGGCACUACGGUGCUGAAGCAACAAAUGCCCUGCUUCCAGGAAAAGCCUCUAAGCAUCAGGUAACAUCAAAUCGUACCCCAAACCGACACAGGUGGUCAGGUAGAGAAUACCAAGGCGCUUGAGAGAACUCGGGUGAAGGAACUAGGCAAAAUGGUGCCGUAACUUCGGGAGAAGGCACGCUGACACGUAGGUGAAGUGAUUUACUCACGGAGCUGAAGUCAGUCGAAGAUACCAGCUGGCUGCAACUGUUUAUUAAAAACACAGCACUGUGCAAACACGAAAGUGGACGUAUACGGUGUGACGCCUGCCCGGUGCCGGAAGGUUAAUUGAUGGGGUCAGCGCAAGCGAAGCUCCUGAUCGAAGCCCCGGUAAACGGCGGCCGUAACUAUAACGGUCCUAAGGUAGCGAAAUUCCUUGUCGGGUAAGUUCCGACCUGCACGAAUGGCGUAAUGAUGGCCAGGCUGUCUCCACCCGAGACUCAGUGAAAUUGAACUCGCUGUGAAGAUGCAGUGUACCCGCGGCAAGACGGAAAGACCCCGUGAACCUUUACUAUAGCUUGACACUGAACAUUGAGCCUUGAUGUGUAGGAUAGGUGGGAGGCUUUGAAGCGUGGACGCCAGUCUGCGUGGAGCCGACCUUGAAAUACCACCCUUUAAUGUUUGAUGUUCUAACGUGGACCCGUAAUCCGGGUUGCGGACAGUGUCUGGUGGGUAGUUUGACUGGGGCGGUCUCCUCCUAAAGAGUAACGGAGGAGCACGAAGGUUGGCUAAUCCUGGUCGGACAUCAGGAGGUUAGUGCAAUGGCAUAAGCCAGCUUGACUGCGAGCGUGACGGCGCGAGCAGGUGCGAAAGCAGGUCAUAGUGAUCCGGUGGUUCUGAAUGGAAGGGCCAUCGCUCAACGGAUAAAAGGUACUCCGGGGAUAACAGGCUGAUACCGCCCAAGAGUUCAUAUCGACGGCGGUGUUUGGCACCUCGAUGUCGGCUCAUCACAUCCUGGGGCUGAAGUAGGUCCCAAGGGUAUGGCUGUUCGCCAUUUAAAGUGGUACGCGAGCUGGGUUUAGAACGUCGUGAGACAGUUCGGUCCCUAUCUGCCGUGGGCGCUGGAGAACUGAGGGGGGCUGCUCCUAGUACGAGAGGACCGGAGUGGACGCAUCACUGGUGUUCGGGUUGUCAUGCCAAUGGCACUGCCCGGUAGCUAAAUGCGGAAGAGAUAAGUGCUGAAAGCAUCUAAGCACGAAACUUGCCCCGAGAUGAGUUCUCCCUGAGACUUUAGGUCUCCUGAAGGAACGUUGAAGACGACGACGUUGAUAGGCCGGGUGUGUAAGCGCAGCGAUGCGUUGAGCUAACCGGUACUAAUGAACCGUGAGGCUUAACCUUACAACGCCGAAG
rnacentral:rRNA from 1 species